GGUGCCUUCGUCUAAUUGGUUAGGACGCAAGCCUCUCAAGCUUGUAAUGCUGGGUUCAAAUCCCGCAGGCAUCACCA
rnacentral:tRNA from 6 species